UCCCUCCUCGUGGCCGACGUCGGAGGCGUCCCCGCCGCGGUGCUUCCCCGCUGGAUCAGGUCCCUCGUCGCUUACGUCGCCGUAUCAAUUUUAAUUAGGAACCUGUAAUAUUUUUCAUUCAUCAUUUUUGUGACUUUGAAUAAAUAUACUUUUACCUUUUCCUUUAUUUGACUUACACCUUUACUUUGAAGUACGUUAGUGUAACUGAU
rnacentral:lncRNA from 1 species